rnacentral:tRNA from 1 species
CAGGAAGUAGUUUAGUUCAAAAAUGCCAGCUUUGGGAGUUGGUGAUGAAGGUUUGAGUCCUUUCUUCCUGA